CCUACGGGAGGCAGCAGUGGGGAAUAUUGCACAAUGGGCGAAAGCCUGAUGCAGCGACGCCGCGUGAGGGAUGACGGCCUUCGGGUUGUAAACCUCUUUCAGCAGGGAAGAAGCGCAAGUGACGGUACCUGCAGAAGAAGCACCGGCUAACUACGUGCCAGCAGCCGCGGUAAUACGUAGGGUGCGAGCGUUGUCCGGAAUUAUUGGGCGUAAAGAGCUCGUAGGCGGUCUGUCGCGUCGGAUGUGAAAGCCCGGGGCUUAACCCCGGGUCUGCAUUCGAUACGGGCAGACCAGAGUGUGGUAGGGGAGAUCGGAAUUCCUGGUGUAGCGGUGAAAUGCGCAGAUAUCAGGAGGAACACCGGUGGCGAAGGCGGAUCUCUGGGCCAUUACUGACGCUGAGGAGCGAAAGCGUGGGGAGCGAACAGGAUUAGAUACCCUGGUAGUCCACGCCGUAAACGUUGGGAACUAGGUGUUGGCGACAUUCCACGUCGUCGGUGCCGCAGCUAACGCAUUAAGUUCCCCGCCUGGGGAGUACGGCCGCAAGGCUAAAACUCAAAUGAAUUGACGG
rnacentral:rRNA from 1 species